CUGAGUACUACCACUCUCUACCCUUUGUGAACUAUUAUACCUGUUGCUUCGGCGGCGCCCGCGAGGGUGCCCGCCGGUCUCAUCAGAAUCUCUGUUUUCGAACCCGACGAUACUUCUGAGUGUUCUUAGCGAACUGUC
rnacentral:misc_RNA from 1 species